CAAAAAAAAACAUGAGAACGCAGAUGACUCUUCAAUAUAUUAUUUCCUUUCUUUUGGGUAUAUACUUAGCAGUGGUAUUGCUGGAUCAUAUGGUGGCUCUAUUUUUACUUUUUUGAGGAACUUCCAAAGUAUUCUCCAUAAUGGCCGUACUAAUUUACAUUCCCACCAACAGUGUACAAAAGUUCUCUUUUCUCUACACCCUCACCAGAAUUUGUUAUUUCCUGUUUUUGGACAUAAGCCAUUUUAACUGGGGUGAUAUGAUAUCUCAUUGUAGUUUUUAUUUGCAUUUAUCUCAUUAUCAAUGAUGGUGAACACCUUUUCACAUACCUGUUUGCAAUUUGUAUGUCUUCUUUUGAGAAACAACUAUUCUUACCUUUUGCCCAUUUAAAAAAUUGGAUUAUUAGAUUUUUUUUUCCUAUACAGUUGUUUGAUAUGGUUUGGCUGUGUCCCCACCCAAAUCUUAUCUUGAAUUGUAGCUCCCAUAAUCCUCAAGUGUUGUGGAAGAGACCUGUUGGGAGGUAAUUGAAUCACAGGGAUGGGUUUUUCCCAUGUUGCUCUCAUGAUAGUGAAUAAGUCUCAUGAGAUCUCAUGGUUUUAUAAAAGGGCAGUUCCCCUGAACAUGCUCCCUUGCCUGGCACCAUGUAAGAUGUGUCUUUGCUCCUCCAUUGCCUUCUGCCAUGAUUGUGAGGCCUCCCCAGCCAUGUGAUACUGUGAGUCCAUUAAACCUCUUUUUCUUUACAAAUCACCCAGUCUCAGGUAAGUCUUUAUCAGCAGUAUGAGAACAGACUAAUACAGUAAAUUGGUACUAGGUAGUGGGGUGCUCCUAUAAAGAUACCUGAAAAUGUGGAAGCAACUUUGGAACUGGGUAACAGGCAGAGGUUGGAAAAGUUUGGAGGGCUCAGAAGAAGAUAAGAAAAUGUGGGAAAGUUUGGAACUUCCUAGAUACUCGGGAUGGGGGGUUCAGAAGACAGGAAGAUGUGGGAAAGUUUGGAACUUCCUAGAGACUUGUUGAAUGGCAUUGACCAAAAUGCUGACAGUGAUAUGAACAAUAAGGUCCAGGCUGAGGUGGUCUCAGAAGGAGAUGAGAAACUUGUUGGGAACUGGAGUAAAGGUCAAUCUUGCUAUACAAAGAGACUGGAGCAUUUUGCCACUGCCCUAGAGAUUUGUGGAACUUUGAACUUGAGAGAGAUGAUUUAGGGUAUCUGGCAGAAGAAAUGUCUAAGUUGCAAAGUGUUCGAGAGAAAGCAGAGCAUAAAAAUUUGGAAAAUUUGCAGCCUGACAAUACAAUAGAAAAGAAAAACCCAUUUUGUCAGGAGAAAUUCAAGCCUGCUGCAGAAAUUUGCAUAAGUAAAGAGGAUCCCACUGUUAGUCACCAAGACAAUGAGGAAAAUAUCUCCAGGUCAUGUCAGAGACCUUUGUGGCAGCCCCUCACAUCACAGACCCAGAGGCCUAGGAGGAAAAAAUGGUUUUAUGGGCUAGGCCUAGGGCCCACCCUGCUGUGUGCAGCCUAGGGACUUGGUGCACUCAUCCCAGCCUCUCCAGCCAUGGCUAAAAGGGGAUGUAUGGAAAUGCCUGGAUGUCCAGGCAGUAGUUUCCUGCAGGGGCAGGGCCCUCAUGGAGAAACUCUGCUAGGGCAGUGCAGAAAUGAAAUGUGUGAUCAGAGUCCCUACACAGAGUCCCCAUUGGGGCAUUGCCUAGUGGAGCUCUGAUGAGAGGGCCACUGUCCUCCAGACCCCAGAAUAGUAGAUCCACCUACAGCUUGCACUGUGCCCCUGGAAAACCCACAGACACUCAAUGCCAGCCUGUGACAGCAGCCCAAAGUAUGGCUGUAUCCUGCAAAGCCACAGGGCAUGAGCUGCCUAAGGCCAUGGGACUCUACCUCUUGCAUCAGUGUGACCUGGCUGUGAGACAUGGAGUCUAAGGAGAUGAUUUUGGAACUUUAAGGUUUAAUGACUGUGCUAUUGGAUUUCCGACUUGCAUGGGGCCUGUAGCCCCUUUGUUUUGGCCAAUUUCUCCCACUUAGAAUGGGUAUAUUUACACAAUGCCUGUCCCCCGUUGUAUCUAGGAAGUAACUAACUUGCUUUUGAUUUUACAGGCUCAUAGGUAGAAAGGAGUUACCUUGUCUCAGAUGAGAAUUUGGACUUGGACUUUUGAGUUAAUGCUAGAAUCAAUUAAGACUUUGGGGGAAUGUUGGUAAGGCAUGAUUGGUUUGGAAAUGUGAAGACAUGAGAUUUGGGAGGGGCCAGUGGUGAAAUGAUAUGGUUUGGUUGUGUCCCCACCCAAAUAUCUUGAACUGUAACUCCCAUAAUCCCCAUGUGUUGUGAGAGAGAUCUAAUGGGAGGCAAAUGCAUCAUGGGGGUGGGUUUUUCCUGUGCUGUUCUUGUGAUGGUGAAUAAGUCUCAUGAGAUCGGGUGGUUUUAAAAAAGGGCAGUUCCCCACACACACUCUCUUGCUUGCCACCAUGUAAGAUGUGCCUUUGCUCCUCCUUUGCUUUCUGCCAUGAUUGUGAGACCUCUUUGGCCAUGUGAAACUGUGAGCCCAUUAAACCUCUUUUUCUUUACAAAUUACUGAGUCUUGGAUAUGUCUUUAUUAGCAGCAUGAGAACAGACUAAUACAAUAUCCUUAUAUAUUCUGGGUUGUUUUGUUUUGUUUUGUUUUGAGACAGAGUUUUGUUCCAUCACCCAGGCUGGAGUGCAGCAGUGCGAUCUCAGCUCACUGCAACCUCCACCUCCCAGGUUCAAGCGAUUCUCCUGCCUCAGCCUCCCGAGUAGCUGGGACUACAGGCAUCUGCCACCUUGCCCAACUAAUUUUUGUAUUUUUAGUAGAGAUGGUGUUUCUCUAUGUUGGCUAGGAUGGUCUUGAACUCCUGACUUUGUGAUCCGCCCGUCUUGGCCUCCCAAAGUGCUAGGAUGACAGGUGUGAGCCACCAAGCCCAGCUUAUUCUGGUUAUUAAUCUCUUUUCAGAUGGAUAGUUUGCAAAUACUUUCUCCCAUUCUGUGAGUUGUCUCUUCACUUUUUUGAUUAUAUCCUUUAUAGAUAGAUAGAUUAGAUAGAUAGAUAGAUAGAUAGAUAGAUAGAUAGAUAGAUAGAUAGAUAGAUGAUAGAUAGAUAGAGAUUUAUCAUGAGGGAUUGGCUCACAUG
rnacentral:lncRNA from 1 species